CAGGCCUUGACAUGGGGAGUAUGGAUAGCAGAAAAGUUAUCCUUCAGUUUGGCUGGCUCCCACACAGGUGCUGCAUGGCUGUCGUCAGCUCGUGUCGUGAGAUGUUGGGUUAAGUCCCGCAACGAGCGCAACCCUCAUCCUUAGUUGCCAACACGUAAUGGUGGGAACUCUAAGGAAACUGCCGGUGAUAAGCCGGAGGAAGGUGGGGAUGACGUCAAGUCUUCAUGGCCCUUACGGCCUGGGCUACACACGUGCUACAAUGGCGGUGACAAUGGGCAGCCAACCCGCAAGGGUGCGCUAAUCUCAAAAAGCCGUCUCAGUUCGGAUUGCACUCUGCAACUCGAGUGCAUGAAGCUGGAAUCGCUAGUAAUCGUAGAUCAGCACGCUACGGUGAAUACGUUCCC
rnacentral:rRNA from 1 species